GCAGGUGAGGGACUGAUCAUCCCCAGAGGCAGCAGCCUGCACCUGCCUCAGCUGAAUGGAACGGGGCCCGUGGGGUCUGCUGCGCUGGAGAAGGAGGAGACCUCCACGUGCUUUGGUCUCAGGGAGGUGUGACGCGCUCUUCUUGUCCGUGGACGAGAGCUCAGAAGACAUGUUGUCCUCUGUUAACACGUAUUUGUUGUACAUUGUUUCCAAUCAGAAGCACCGGCCAGCUAACAGGGUGUGCUGCAUGGGGGAGGACAUCUAUGAUGGACGAUGUUGGACCCUACCUGCCCUGCAAACUGGACAUAGAGUCUGGAAGAUGUGUUCAUAUCAGGCAGGAAGGGUCAAGCAAAAGAUGCUGUUGUGUUGCAUCAUGGAAAGUGAAGUCAUGCCAAUGAAGAGAGGGAACAAGCAUCCACUGAGCUGAGAGCUGCACAACUCUGUUUACUGCCCGACGUGUUGUUGGGAGCAGUUGAGAUGAAAUGCAUAUACGGCUGAAGGCUUCCACCUAGACAUGAUGGAUGGAUGGAUGGAUCCUGAGGGAAAUUAAGGCAGUUGCAAAGAAAAGCAGCACACAUGGAACCUGGCGUCUUCUUCGGGAAGGAUUCAAUAUUCUAUUGUUUUGCUGGACAGUUUUAUUGAGAAUUAAGUUUGAUACCUAUAGCUUUGACAAGCAUGGAAAAAUGCAAGAGAGACAUUUUAAGAUGGCUGGUGAAACAUUUCUCCUUUGUGGUUUUGCCCUUCUUACCAAUCUUCAAAUCUCACAUUAUAGGUUGAUGUUGGUGCUAUGUUUGGCAUACGUGUAUUAUACUGUGCAGGAUUUCCAUUUGCCUCUGAGUGACUGGUUCCUUUAGAGGCCACAAGUUUCACACAUCCAGGUCUCUCUGCACAGUGCUGCGUCAGCACCGGAGAAUGUUCUGGCUGCUCCUACAAUCAUUCAGGUUAGGGGAAAGAAAACAGUCUGGUUUGUUUGUAUUUCUUCAAACCACUCACCAUAGUCUUGGGCUGUGCUAAGCCCAGAAUGCAGCAACACUGCCCAGGAAAGUAGUGUUGGGGUGGGCUGGUGUUGGUGGAACAUUCGUCAUUAAAAUAGUUUAUUCCCUGAAAAGAAAACUGCACAAAAAUAUUAGCUCAAAGAUGUUUGUUGGCUGUGUGAUUGCACGAUCCAGAUAUUUGUCAAAACGUCCAAUUUUCAGUGUGUAGGUUGUUUUCUGCAGUGAAGUGGAUUUUGUAAGCGUAAUGAGCAGACAGCUGAAAGGGAGGAGAAUGAUAGGCUUACGCUCAAAGUUUACGAGUGGGGAGUGAGACUAAGGCAAUGUCUGCACAAACACAUUUCAUUUUAAAAGAAAACCAAUCUCAGUCCAUUCAUCCAUUUUUUAUUUGCCAACAGUAAUGCAAAAUGCAGGAUAUUAAUUAUCCUUACCAAUGGCACCAAUGCUAGUAUUGUCAGGUUCAGUGUCUCUUUCAGAAUAAACCACAAUCUGAGCCACUUGCAGUCUGACUUAUAUUAAGUCUGAAGUUAAAGAGGGGAGAUGAGCAAGGACUUUGCCCUAAUUAUCAUGCUGGCUUAACAUGCUGUGUCGGUUAAAUGGUGUUUGCAAGAGGUGCAACCUCUGGCUGCUUAUUCCAGCUACUUCCUGACACUCCCAAUCAGCCUGAUUGAUUGGAUCCUAAGCCACUCCCUAACUCCGAUUGGCAGCUUGAUGACAAGAGGGGAGGAGAAUAGCUCAGGGAGAGAGGGACUUUUAUGGUCCUCAUCUAAUCCAAAGUAUGUUUUUGCUCUUAAAAUGUGUGUGUGUGUGUGUGUGUCAGUGCCCCUGUUGUUGGUCUGCAAUAAACGUGGCAUCAGAAAAAUAUUCAUCCAUAAUAAUCUGUCGGGACGCUUUUCUUCAGCUUUCCAAAACUGUCACAUCUAUCAAGAUUAGGUGACUGGUGGAGCCCAGUUCUCCCGUAAAAUGAAUCAAUCUCAGCGGAUGGCUGAAACGACUGAUGCCGACUGUCCAAGUUACUCGUGGUUUAACCAACUCUGACAAACAUCCCUGGCUCAUAGCGAACCACUGAUUGGACAGCUCAGUGAUCCAUCUUCUGAAGAAAACUGUGACAGCCAUGU